ensembl:lncRNA
AGGAAAUGGCAACGCACUCCAGUAUUCUUGCCUGGAGAAUCCCAUGGACAGAGGAGCCUGGCGGGGGGAUCUUCCCAACCCAGGGAUCUUCCCAACCCAGGGAUCGAACCCAGGUCUCCCGCAUUGGAGGCAGACGCUUUAACCUCAGCCACCAGGGAAGCCCAGUGCAGUGGCACUGGGUAGAGCAGUGAAUGAGACAAACCUGGCCUUUGCCUUCCUGAAGCCUAGAAUCUAGGAGAAGACAGACAGAUGCAAGCAAGUGCGGGCUAAGCCCUGAGUUCCCUGGAGCAGGAAAUGGCAACCCAGUCCAGUAUUCUUACCUGGAAAAUCCUAUGGACAUAGGAGCCUGGUGGGCUACAGUCUAUGGGAUUGUGAAGGGUUGGACACCACUGAGCAACUGAGCAAGGCAUACGGAUCCCUGAGUCAGACAGUGCUUGUUGAUGACCAGGGAUAUAC